rnacentral:rRNA from 1 species
GAUGAACGCUGGCGGCGUGCCUAAUACAUGCAAGUCGAGCGGACAGACGCGGAGCUUGCUCCUCUGACGUUAGCGGCGGACGGGUGAGUAACACGUGGAUCACCUACCUAUAUGACUGGGAAAACUUCGGGAAACCGGCGCUUAUACCGGAUAAUAUAUUGCACCGCGUGGUUCAAUGGUAAGAGACGGCUGUGCUGUCACUAAUAGCUGGUUACGAGCCGCAUGAGCUAGUUGGUAAGGUAACGGCUUACGAAGGCGACGAUGCGUAGCCGACCUGAGUGGGUGAUCGGCCACAUGGGAACUGAGACACGGUCCAGACGCCUACGGGAGGCAGCAGUAGGGAAUCUGACGCAAUGGGCGGAAGCCUGACGGAGCAACGGGGCGUGAGUGAUGAAAGUCUUCGGAUCGUGAAACUCUGUUAUUAGGGAAGAACAGAUGUGUAAGUAAAUAUGCACGGCUUGACGGUAACGAGUCAGAAAGCCACGGCUAACUACGUG